rnacentral:rRNA from 1 species
AUUGAACGCUGGCGGCAGGCCUAACACAUGCAAGUCGAACGAGGGGCGGACGGGUGAGUAAUGUAUGGGACCUUGCCUGAUUGAGGGGGUUAACUACUGGAAACGGUGGCUAAUACCGCAUACUAUAGGAUGAGCCCAUAUGGGAUUAGCUAGUUGGUGGGGUAAUGGGUCACCUGGGCGACGAUCGCUAGCUGGUCUGAGAGGAUGAUCAGCCACACUGGGACGGGUAGAAGGGCCAGACUCCUACGGGAGGCAGCGGUGGGGAAUAUGGCGCAGUGGGCGCAAUCCUGAUGCAGCCAUGCCGCGGGUGUGAAGAAGGCCUUGGGGGUGUAAAGUUCUUACAGCGGGGAGGCGUUACCCGCAGAAGAAGCACCGGCUAACUCCGUGCCAGCAGCCGCGGUAAUUC